GCGCUCGUGGCGGAAUCGGAAUACGCGCAAGCUUGAGGAGCUUGGCCCUUUGGGGCGUGAGAGUUCGAGUCUCUCCGAGCGCA
rnacentral:tRNA from 1 species